rnacentral:rRNA from 1 species
UCCUAUGGCCAUGCCACACUUAACACACCCGAUCUCAUCUGAUCUUGGAAGCUAAGCAGGAUUGGGCCUGAUUAGUACUUAGACGGGAGACCACAUAGGAAUACCAGGUGCUGUAGGCU